GGACAGGUGGCCGAGCGGCUGAAGGCACAGCAUUGGAAAUGCUGCAUACGGGCAACCGUAUCGAGGGUUCGAAUCCCUCCCUGUCCG
rnacentral:tRNA from 1 species